GUGGGGAAUAUUGGACAAUGGGGGGAACCCUGAUCCAGCCAUGCCGCGUGUGUGAAGAAGGCCUUUUGGUUAUAAAGCACUUUAAGCGAGGAGGAGGCUACCGAGAUUAAUACUCUUGGAUAGUGGACGUUACUCGCAGAAUAAGCACCGGCUAACUCUGUGCCAGCAGCCGCGGUAAUACAGAGGGUGCAAGCGUUAAUCGGAUUUACUGGGCGUAAAGCGCGCGUAGGUGGCCAAUUAAGUCAAAUGUGAAAUCCCCGAGCUUAACUUGGGAAUUGCAUUCGAUACUGGUUGGCUAGAGUAUGGGAGAGGAUGGUAGAAUUCCAGGUGUAGCGGUGAAAUGCGUAGAGAUCUGGAGGAAUACCGAUGGCGAAGGCAGCCAUCUGGCCUAAUACUGACACUGAGGUGCGAAAGCAUGGGGAGCAAACAGGAUUAGAUACCCUAGUAGUCC
rnacentral:rRNA from 1 species